rnacentral:rRNA from 1 species
UACGUAGGGUCCGAGCGUUGUCCGGAAUUAUUGGGCGUAAAGAGCUCGUAGGCGGUCUGUUGCGUCCGCUGUGAAAACUCGGGGCUUAACCCCGAGCCUGCAGUGGAUACGGGCAGACUAGAGGUAGGUAGGGGAGAAUGGAAUUCCCGGUGUAGCGGUGAAAUGCGCAGAUAUCAGGAGGAACACCGAUGGCGAAGGCAGGUCUCUGGGCCACUACUGACGCUGAGAAGCGAAAGCAUGGGGAGCGAACAGG